UGAACUUAUACAGGUAUGAUGUGGCUCAGAGAGGAGGGACUCAGUGUUCACAGAUCUGACAUGAUCUAAUGUGUUUGACAGAAACUGUGGUUAAAAGGAUUUCAAUCCGAGUCUUCUCAGAGUGAACACAAUCAAUGGAUCUUCAUUCAGUUAUUCUGUUCUGUGCCUCAACAGCUGCUGUCUUUGGAAAUGUCAUCAAACUGAACAAAACUGAUGUUGUUUAUGAGGAGGGUUCGAAUGUUAUAUUGUCCUGCAGUCAUUCACCUGCAGCUUCAGAUGAAAUCCACUGGUACCGUCAGUAUGAAAGAUCGAAACCUGAAUUUCUUGUACUCACCUUUGGUAGUGAAAAAGAUGUCAAGGUGUCUAAUAUAGAUAAAAGACUCACUGUUAAAGUUGAGAAAAAGAAGAAAAUCCAUGUGGAUCUGAAGAUCUCCUCUGCUGCUGUAUCUGACUCUGCUCUGUACUACUGUGCUCUGAGGCCCACAGUGACAGGAAACACAUCAGCUCUCUACAAAAACCUGUUACACUGA